rnacentral:lncRNA from 1 species
GUUGUGUGCAAUGGGUGCAAGGUGGCGGUGGUGUUCAAGGGUGGUACAGAUGGUGGUUUUGGAGGGUCGCAAUGGUUUAAGUGGAGUUUGGGUGGUGGUAAUAAUGUUGAUGGUUUGGUGCGACGCUGGUGGUGGUGGUGCUCUUGAUCGUGGUGUUUGGGGGACGGUAGCUUUGUUGGCGGAGGUUAUGUUGGAUCUAGUGGUAGCUGUGGUGUGCAAAGGGUAUGUUGGUUGCGAUGAUCGUGGCGGUGAUGGUAGUGGUCUGCAGUG